rnacentral:rRNA from 1 species
AGUGAACGCUGGCGGCAGGCCUAACACAUGCAAGUCGAACGGCAGCACAGAGGAGCUUGCUCCUUGGGUGGCGAGUGGCGGACGGGUGAGGAAUGCGUCGGAAUCUGCCUAUUUGUGGGGGAUAACGUAGGGAAACUUACGCUAAUACCGCAUACGACCUACGGGUGAAAGUGGGGGACCUUCGGGCCUCACGCGGAUAGAUGAGCCGACGCCGGAUUAGCCAGUUGGCGGGGUAAAGGCCCACCAAGGCGACGAUCCGUAGCUGGUCUGAGAGGAUGAUCAGCCACACUGGGACUGAGACACGGCCCAGACUCCUACGGGAGGCAGCAGUGGGGAAUAUUGGACAAGGGGCGCAAGCCUGAUCCAGCCAUGCCGCGUGUGUGAAGAAGGCCUUCGGGUUGUAAAGCACUUUUGUCCGGAAAGAAAUCCAAUCGAUUAAUACUCGGUUGGGAUGACGGUACCGGAAGAAUAAGCACCGGCUAACUUCGUGCCAGCAGCCGCAGUAAAAC